GACGAACGCUGGCGGCGUGCCUAAUACAUGCAAGUAGAACGCUGAAGGAGGAGCUUGCUUCUCUGGAUGAGUUGCGAACGGGUGAGUAACGCGUAGGUAACCUGCCUGGUAGCGGGGGAUAACUAUUGGAAACGAUAGCUAAUACCGCAUAAUAGUAGAUGUUGCAUGACAUUUGCUUAAAAGGUGCAAUUGCAUCACUACCAGAUGGACCUGCGUUGUAUUAGCUAGUUGGUGGGGUAACGGCUCACCAAGGCGACGAUACAUAGCCGACCUGAGAGGGGGAUGGGCCACAGGGGGACUGGGACACGGCCCAGGCUCCGACGGGAGGGAGCAGGAGGGAAUCUUCGGAAAUGGGGGGAAGUUUGACCGAGCAACGCCGGGGGGGGGAAAAAGGUUUUGGGAUCGAAAAGCUUUGUUGAAAGAGAAAAACGGUGGGGAGAGGGGAAAGUUCACACUGUGAGGGUAUUUUACAAGAAAGGGACGGCUAACUACGU
rnacentral:rRNA from 1 species